UUGCAUUUUGUCGUCAAUCUUAUCAACAAUUUAUAGUUUGGGUACAUAUAAAACAACUUCUUGCUUCACAAUAAUUGCAAAAUCUGCAUCAAUUAUCUAGAGGUGACAAUCCGAGCCGUUUUGACAACUGUGUGCUAUACUGUAUACAUAUAUUUUCAUACGCCAAAACAAUGCAGUGAAAUCGGAAAUACAUUAUCUUAUUUUUAGCUCACCUGACCUGAAAGGUCAAGUGAGCUUUUCUCAUCACUUUGCGUCCGUCGUCCGUCGUCCUGCGUCCGUCGUCCGUCGUCCGUCGUCCGUCGUCCGUAAACUUUUACAAAAAUCUUCUCCUCUGAAACUACUGGGUCAAAUUUAACCAAACUUGGUCACAAUCAUCAUUGGGGUAUCUAGUUUAAAAAAUGUGUCCGGUGAUCCGGUCAACCAACCAAGAUGGCCGCCAUGGCUAAAAAUAGAACAUAGGGGUAAAAUGUAGAUUUUGGCUUAUAUCUCUGAAACCAAAGCAUUUAGAGCAAAUCUGAUAAAGGGGAAAAUUGUUUAUCAGGUCAAGAUCUAUCUGCCCUGAAAUUUUCAGAUGAAUCUGACAACCCUUUGUUGGGUUGCUGCCCCUGAAUUGGUAAUUUUAAGGAAAUUUUGCCGUUUUUAUACGACCGCAAAAAAAUUUUUGUGGUCGUAUAUUGGUAUGACGUUGGCGUCGUCGUCGUCGUCGUCGUCGUCGUCGUCGUCGUCCGGCGUCGUCGUCCGAAUACACAUUAGUUUUCGCACUCUAACUUUAGUUUAAGUGAAUGGAUCUCAUUGAAAUUUUACCAUAAGGUUCAAUACCACAAAAGGAAGGUGGGGAUUGAUUUUGGGGGUUAUGGUACUAACAGUUAAGGAAUUAGGGGCCAAAAGGGGCCAAAAAUAAGCAUUUUUGUAACUUCCAGACAUAACUUGUGUGUAAGUGUAUGGAUCUCUCUGACAUUGUACCACAAGGUUCCAUAUCACAAAGGGGAUGCUGGGAUUGAUGUUGGGGGUAAUUGUCUCCAAAUUUUAGGAAUUAGGGGCCAAAAAGGGGCAAAAAACAAGCAUUUUUCUAGUUUCAUGACAAUAACUUGUUUGUAAGUGUAUGGAUCUUUAUGAAAUUGUACUACAAGGUUCCAUAUCACAAAGGGAAUACUGGGAUUGAUUUUUGGGGUAAUUUCCUCCAAAUAUUAGGAAUUAGGGGCCAAAAAGGGGCAAAAAACAAGCAUUUUUCUAGUUUCCAGACAAUAACUUGUUUGUAAGUGUAUGGAUCUUUAUGAAAUUGUACUACAAGGUUCCAUAUCACAAAGGGAAAGCUGGAAUUGAGUUUGGGGGUAAUUGCCCUAAACGUUUUGGAAUUUGGGGCCAAAAAGGGGCCAAAAAACAAGCAUUUUUCUAGUUUCCAGACAAUAACUUGUGUUCAAGUGUAUGAAUCUCUCUGAAAUUGUACUGCAAGGUACCAUACCACAAAGGGAAAGCUGGGAUUGAGUUUGGGGGCGAUGAAUCAUAAGGGGGUUCAAAAAAUUGGGGGGGGAUUUUUUUUUUCCUUUUUUUUCUUUAACAUUUUCCAUUUUAAAUUGGUUAUUUCUGAUUUAUAUAUAAAAGCAAAUAAUAAUGAUAUGGUUUGAAUAGGCAUACAUGUGAACCUCCCGACGGGAGUACAAUAAUCCCGUUUUCAGGGGUCUCCUCCCCUCCUCCCGUUGAAAAAAUCCCGUGUAUGAAAUUUUUCAUGAAUGAAAAAUUUCUGCCCAACAUAACAUCUCUGGCAUCUGGUGUAACUGACAUUACCUGAAGUUAUAUUUUACCUGUAAAUCAAUUAACAUGCAUAAUUAUAUGGCUUCACUUGUCAGCUUGGGUGUCAAACAUACUGGUAAGCAACGAUUUUUACCUCAGGCUAACUGCCGUUGUGUAACAAAAACUGUGUAUUUAUUGGGUUACUUCCCUUGAUUUAUCCUGUUUUAAGUUACUUUCCUUUUAAUAAUGAAAAUUUUUAAAAGAAUAUAAAUAAAAUAUAAAUUGAACAAAUAAUUAUAAAAGGAUGGUUAUUAAAUGAUUUUAAAUGUCUUAGGACAAAUAAAAAAAUAAUAAUUUGAAAAUUAUUUGAGGAUUCUAUUUUAAGGCUUAAAUUGAAAUUUAUAUAAUAACUAUGACCCUAACUUUACAGGUAGAAUGAAUUUCUGAGUUUGCAAA